GACGGUACUAUAAGCGUAGGAUCUACCUAGUAGUAUGGAAUAGCCAUUAGAAAUGAUGGGUAAUACUGUAUAAUCCCUGCGGGGGAAAGAUUUAUCGCUAUUAGAUGAGCCUACGUUAGAUUAGCUAGUUGGUAAGGUAAUGGCUUACCAAGGCUAUGAUCUAUAGCUGGUCUGAGAGGACGAUCAGCCACACUGGAACUGAGAUACGGUCCACACUCCGACGGGAGGCAGCAGUGGGGAAUAUUGGAGGAUGGGCCAAAGCCUGAUCCAGCUAUGCCGCGUGAGUGAGGAAGGCCUUCGGGUUGUAAAACUCUUUCAAUAAGGAAGAU
rnacentral:rRNA from 1 species